CGGCGAGUGAAGCGGUAACAGCUCAAAUUUGAAAUCUGGCUCUUUUAGGGUCCGAGUUGUAAUUUGUAGAAGAUGCUUCGGGUGUGGCACCGGUCUAAGUUCCUUGGAACAGGACGUCAUAGAGGGUGAGAAUCCCGUACGUGACCGGCCGCCUCCGCCCGUGUGAAGCUCUUUCGACGAGUCGAGUUGUUUGGGAAUGCAGCUCUAAAUGGGAGGUAAAUUUCUUCUAAAGCUAAAUAUUGGCCAGAGACCGAUAGCGCACAAGUAGAGUGAUCGAAAGAUGAAAAGCACUUUGGAAAGAGAGUUAAACAGUACGUGAAAUUGUUGAAAGGGAAGCGCUUGCAACCAGACUUGCCUGCCGUCGAUCAUCCUCCGUUUUCGGGGGUGCACUCGGCGGUGGUCAGGCCAGCAUCGGUUUCGGUGGUGGGAUAAAGACCUUAGGAAUGUGGCUCCUCUCGGGGAGUGUUAUAGCCUUCGGUGCAAUGCCGCCUGCCGGGACCGAGGACCGCGCUUCGGCUAGGAUGCUGGCGUAAUGGUUGUAAGCGACCCGUCUUGAAACACGGACCAAGGAGUCUAACAUCUAUGCGAGUGUUUGGGUGUUAAACCCAUACGCGUAAUGAAAGUGAACGGAGGUGAGAACCCUUUAGGGUGCAUCAUCGACCGAUCCUGAUGUCUUCGGAUGGAUUUGAGUACGAGCAUAGCUGUUGGGACCCGAAAGAUGGUGAACUAUGCCUAAAUAGGGUGAAGCCAGAGGAAACUCUGGUGGAGGCUCGCAGCGGUUCUGACGUGCAAAUCGAUCGUCAAAUUUGGGUAUAGGGGCGAAAGACUAAUCGAACCAUC
rnacentral:rRNA from 1 species